rnacentral:rRNA from 1 species
GGAAUAUUGGACAAUGGGCGCAAGCCUGAUCCAGCCAUGCCGCGUGCAGGAUGACGGUCCUAUGGAUUGUAAACUGCUUUUGUACGGGAAGAAACACUCCUUCGUGAAGGAGCUUGACGGUACCGUAAGAAUAAGGAUCGGCUAACUCCGUUCCAGCAGCCGCGGUAAUACGGAGGAUCCAAGCGUUAUCCGGAAUCAUUGGGUUUAAAGGGUCCGUAGGCGGUUUUGUAAGUCAGUGGUGAAAUCCGGCAGCUCAACUGUCGCACUGCCAUUGAUACUGCAGGACUUGAAUUAUUGUGAAGUAACUAGAAUAUGUAGUGUAGCGGUGAAAUGCUUAGAUAUUACAUGGAAUACCCAUUGCGAAGGCAGGUUACUAACAAUACAUUGACGCUGAUGGACGAAAGCGUGGGGAGCGA